CCCUACGGGGCGCAGCAGGCGCGAAACCUUCGCACUGUGCGAAAGCGCGAUGAGGGGAUCCCAAGUGCUUGCUCGUAAGAGUAAGCUGUUUUUAUGUCUAAAAAGCAUAGAGAGUAAGGGCUGGGUAAGACGGGUGCCAGCCGCCGCGGUAAUACCUGCAGCUCAAGUGGUGAUCAUUAUUAUUGGGCCUAAAACGUCCGUAGCCGGUUUGGUAAAUGCCUGGGUAAAUCGUGUAGCUUAACUAUACGAAUUCCGGGUAGACUGCCAAACUUGAGACCGGGAGAGGCUAGAGGUACUCCUGGGGUAGAGGUGAAAUUCUGUAAUCCUAGGGGGACCACCAGUGGCGAAGGCGUCUAGCUAGAACGGGUCUGACGGUCAGGGACGAAGCCCUGGGGCGCGAACCGGAUUAGAUACCCGGGUAGUCCAGGGUGUAAACGCUGCUUGCUUGAUGUUAGUUGGGCUUCGAGCCCAAUUAGUGUCGGAGAGAAGUUGUUAAGCAAGCUGCCUGGGAAGUACGGUCGCAAGGCUGAAACUUAAAGGAAUUGGCGGGGGAGCAC
rnacentral:rRNA from 1 species